AGAGUUUGAUCCUGGCUCAGGAUGAACGCUAGCUACAGGCUUAACACAUGCAAGUCGAGGGGCAGCGGGAUUGAAGCUUGCUUCAAUUGCCGGCGACCGGCGCACGGGUGAGUAACGCGUAUCCAACCUUCCGUACACUCAGGGAUAGCCUUUCGAAAGAAAGAUUAAUACCUGAUGGUAUGAUGAGAUUGCAUGAUAGCAUCAUUAAAGAUUUAUCGGUGUACGAUGGGGAUGCGUUCCAUUAGGUAGUAGGCGGGGUAACGGCCCACCUAGCCAACGAUGGAUAGGGGUUCUGAGAGGAAGGUCCCCCACAUUGGAACUGAGACACGGUCCAAACUCCUACGGGAGGCAGCAGUGAGGAAUAUUGGUCAAUGGACGAGAGUCUGAACCAGCCAAGUAGCGUGAAGGAUGAAGGUCCUACGGAUUGUAAACUUCUUUUAUAAGGGAAUAAACCCUCCCACGUGUGGGAGCUUGUAUGUACCUUAUGAAUAAGCAUCGGCUAACUCCGUGCCAGCAGCCGCGGUAAUACGGAGGAUGCGAGCGUUAUCCGGAUUUAUUGGGUUUAAAGGGAGCGCAGACGGGUCGUUAAGUCAGCUGUGAAAGUUUGGGGCUCAACCUUAAAAUUGCAGUUGAUACUGGCGUCCUUGAGUGCGGUUGAGGUGUGCGGAAUUCGUGGUGUAGCGGUGAAAUGCUUAGAUAUCACGAAGAACUCCGAUUGCGAAGGCAGCACACUAAGCCGUAACUGACGUUCAUGCUCGAAAGUGUGGGUAUCAAACAGGAUUAGAUACCCUGGUAGUCCACACGGUAAACGAUGGAUACUCGCUGUUGGCGAUAUACGGUCAGCGGCUUAGCGAAAGCGUUAAGUAUCCCACCUGGGGAGUACGCCGGCAACGGUGAAACUCAAAGGAAUUGACGGGGGCCCG
rnacentral:rRNA from 1 species